UACAGAGGGAGCUAGCGUUGUUCGGAAUUACUGGGCGUAAAGCGUGCGUAGGCGGCUUCUCAAGUCAGGCGUGAAAUCCUGGGGCUUAACCCCAGAACUGCGCUUGAAACUAGGAGGCUAGAGGACGAGAGAGGAUAGUGGAAUUCCUAGAGUAGGAGUGAAAUCCGUAGAUAUUAGGAGGAACACCAGUGGCGAAGGCGGCUAUCUGGCUCGUAUCUGACGCUGAGGCACGAAAGCGUGGGGAGCAAACAGG
rnacentral:rRNA from 1 species